rnacentral:rRNA from 1 species
GGCUUUCGGGUGUAAUCAGCUGACCAUAAUGGCUCUGUACGGUGUGUCGGAGACGGCGGCUUGUGGUGCAUGCAUGCGUAGCCUUGAGCUGGCGGGUCUGAGUUUGGUUGCUAUGUUGCUUGUUCAAGCAGGCCUGGCGAUGGCUCGGAUCUGUACGGUGCUCGGUGGCGUGUGUUGUGCUGAUACCAGGGCCAACAGUCUGUGGUGUAGUGGUAGACGAUCCACCUGACCCGUCUUGAAACACGGACCAAGGAGAGUAACAUGUGCGCGAGUCAUUGGGCGUAACGAAACCCACAGGCGAAGUGAAAGUAAAGGUUUGGCUUGUCCAGACUGAGGUGAGAUCCUGUCGUUUCUCACGCGCGGUACUACCAAGCAUCGAGCGGCAGGCGCAUCACCGGCCCGUCCCAUGACGUAUACCGUCGGGGCGGAGCAUGAGCGUACAUGUUGAGACCCGAAAGAUGGUGAACUAUGCUUGCGCAGGUUGAAGCCAGAGGAAACUCUGGUGGAGGACCGCAGCGAUUCUGACGUGCAAAUCGAUCGUCAAACGUGAGUAUAGGGGCGAAAGACUAAUCGAACCAUCUAGUAGCUGGUUCCCUCCGAAGUUUCCCUCAGGAUA